rnacentral:rRNA from 1 species
AAUGAACGUUGGCGGCGUGGAUUAGGCAUGCAAGUCGUGCGAGAAGUUUCCCUGCUUGCAGGGAAAUGGACAGCGGCGCAAGGGAGAGUGACGCGUGGAUUAUCUGCCCCGAGACCCGGGAUAGCGGCGGGAAACUGCCGGUAAUACCGGAUAAUGUCUCCGGACCAAAGGUGUGAUUCCGUCUUGGGAUGAGUCCGCGUCCUAUUAGCUUGUUGGUGGGGUAAUGGCCUACCAAGGCUUAGAUGGGUACCGGGUGUGAGAGCAUGGCCCGGCUCACUGGGACUGAGACACUGCCCAGACACCUACGGGGCUGCAGUCGAGAAUCUUCGGCAAUGGACGCAAGUCUGACCGAGCGACGCCGCGUGCGGGAUGAAGGCCUUCGGGUUGUAAACCC